rnacentral:snRNA from 1 species
AUCUUUGCGUUUGGGGCAAUGAUGCAGGUAGUGAGGUUCUAACUGAGGCUUGUCUAUUGCUGGUUGAAAACUAUUUCCAAACCCCCUCUAUGGCUUGGGUUUACCCCAAGCCUUAGAGAUUUUUUGGACGGGCUUUGUUCUUUGUC